GUUUUAAUAAUUUAACAAAAAUAUUGGUCUUGUAAACCAAAAAUAAGGAACCCCUUUUAAAACU
rnacentral:tRNA from 1 species